GGUCUUGUAAACCUGAAAUGAAGUCACUACUUCCAAGGACA
rnacentral:tRNA from 1 species